rnacentral:rRNA from 1 species
CUCCUACGGGAGGCAGCAGUAAGGAAUAUUGGUCAAUGGAGGCAACUCUGAACCAGCCAUGCCGCGUGGAGGAUGAAGGUCCUCUGGAUUGUAAACUUCUUUUAUAUGGGACGAAAAAAGGCUUUUCUAAGUCGUCUGACGGUACCAUAUGAAUAAGCACCGGCUAACUCCGUGCCAGCAGCCGCGGUAAUACGGAGGGUGCAAGCGUUAUCCGGAUUCACUGGGUUUAAAGGGUGCGUAGGUGGGUUGGUAAGUCAGUGGUGAAAUCCCCGAGCUUAACUUGGGAACUGCCAUUGAUACUAUCAGUCUUGAAUACCGUGGAGGUCGGCGGAAUAUGUCAUGUAGCGGUGAAAUGCUUAGAUAUGACAUAGAACACCAAUUGCGAAGGCAGCUGGCUACGCGGAUAUUGACACUGAGGCACGAAAGCGUGGGGAUCAAACAGGAUUAGAUACCCUGGUAGUCCACGCCCUAAACUAUGGAUACUCGACAUUUGCGAUAAACUGUAAGUGUCUGAGCGAAAGCAUUA